GCAACGGCGAAGAAGGAAAAAAGUACGAAAAGGCGGUCGGCAAAGAGAAUCCGCGGCUGGUGGAAGCGGAUGCGGCCCUUUUUCGGAAAUACGUUCCGGAGCCGCCAGGCUGAGAAAGAUUCAUUAGGCCCGGCCGGGUGCUGUGCACGUUACCGCACAAGGGUAUGGAAUUCCGUACCCGUAAGGCCGCGGCUGUGAGGCCGCGGCGAACUGAGGUGGUACCGCGGAUUUUUCCGCCCUCUGC
rnacentral:ncRNA from 1 species